GAUGAAGAACGUAGCGAAAUGCGAUAAGUAGUGUGAAUUGCAGAAUUCAGUGAAUCAUCGAAUCUUUGAACGCACAUUGCGCCCUUUGGUAUUCCAAAGGGCAUGCCUGUUCGAGCGUCAUUUGUACCCUCAAGCUUUGCUUGGUGUUGGGCGUCUUGUCUCUAGCUUUGCUGGAGACUCGCCUUAAAGUAAUUGGCAGCCGGCCUACUGGUUUCGGAGCGCAGCACAAGUCGCACUCUCUAUCAGCAAAGGUCUAGCAUCCAUUAAGCCUUUUUUUCAUCUUUUGACCUCGGAUCAGGUAGGGAUACCCGCUGAACUUAAGCAUAUCAAUAAGCGGAGGA
rnacentral:misc_RNA from 1 species